AUGGUGUACGCGCUCGCGAAGCUGGACUCCAAACUCGACCAGCUAUCAGGGCGACUCGAGGAUGUGAAGCUGUCCCUUGGAGUCGACAUCGAUGAGCUGCGCGGGGAGAUGGCCGCGGACCGCGGCGCUGUGUCGUCGCCCGCAUCGCCAACUUCUCAAGGUCCCCCAUCCGCCACCACCAAGUUUGCGGUUCUGGCAAGCGGUACGGCGAGCCAGGAAGGGCUCCGACCGAAGGUGGAUCCACGGCCUCCGACGCCCAAGUACGUUCCACCACAAGCGAGAGGUAUGCAACAGGACCAGAUCGUGCUCAGGCAGCCGAAUCAGGCACCAGAAAUUUUUCGCCCCUUCGCCGAGGAUUCCUCUAGUUUCGCUCCUCGGAUCGAACUGCCCAAUUUCGAUGGAUCUAACCCCAAGUUGUGGCAGUCGCGAUGUGAGGACUACUUCAGAUUCUGGAACACACCAGCGCACCAGUGGAUUCCCUUCACCACCGCUCUGUUUGAAGGAACAGUUGCUCGCUGGCUGGAGUCCGUCUAG
rnacentral:rRNA from 1 species